CAAUAGCGUGUAUUAAAGUUGUUGCAGUUAAAAGGCUCGUAGUUGGAUUUCUGGUGGGAGCGAUCGGUCUGGCGCUUAGCGCGAGUACUUGCAUCGUCUCCGGCCAUCCUUGGGGAGAGUCUGUCUGGCAUUAGGUUGUCGGGCAGAGGAUCCUCAUCGUUUACUGUGAAAAAAUUAGAGUGUUCAAAGCAGGCUUAUGCCGUUGAAUAUAUUAGCAUGGAAUAAUAAGAUAGGACUUUGGUACUAUUUUGUUGGUUUGCGCACCAAAGUAAUGAUUAAUAGGGACAGUUGGGGGCAUUCGUAUUCCGUUGUCAGAGGUGAAAUUCUUGGAUUUACGGAAGACGAACUACUGCGAAAGCAUUUACCAAGGAUGUUUUCAUUAA
rnacentral:rRNA from 1 species